rnacentral:rRNA from 1 species
GGAUAACUGCUCGAAAGAGCAGCUAAUACCGCAUACGACCUGAGGGUGAAAGGGGGGGAUCGCAAGACCUCUCGCUAUUGGAGCGGCCGAUAUCAGAUUAGCUAGUUGGUGGGGUAAAGGCCUACCAAGGCAACGAUCUGUAGUUGGUCUGAGAGGACGACCAGCCACACUGGGACUGAGACACGGCCCAGACUCCUACGGGAGGCAGCAGUGGGGAAUUUUGGACAAUGGGCGCAAGCCUGAUCCAGCAAUGCCGCGUGCAGGAAGAAGGCCUUCGGGUUGUAAACUGCUUUUGUCAGGGAAGAAAUCCUCUAGGUUAAUACCCUUGGGGGGAUGACGGUA